CAGCUGUGGCUUCUCCAAUGAAGCAGCUUUUUUUGACUUCAGCUUAUCUGGUUGAAAAAACGUUUGGUAAAAUGGAUUCUCCUGAUUGUUAUAGAAAGGUGAAAUGUCCAUAAUACACUUGUUGUUUUGUUUUUUUGUUUUCUUCUUUUUCUUCUUCUUUUUUCUUUUUUUCCUUCCACUUCGUUUUCUUAUCCACUCCUCCUGUCUUCCUCCUUUUUC
rnacentral:lncRNA from 1 species